UAUAUAGUUUAAGUUUAAAAAAUUUGGCUCUCAAAAGAAAUUUCCAUCGUUGUACUGUUGAUAUUUGGCUCUGUUGACUAAUGAGUUUGCCAACCACUGGGGUGAGGGAUCCCCCCACACCACCGUGCACGAAUCUUCAUGCACUGGGCCCCUAGUCUAUAUAUAAAAGGCUAAGUUGACUCACACAUGUGCAAUACAUAUACAGCUCUAACUGGCACCAAUCACACAAGUGUUUCCAUCUGUCAUUGUUGAUCAUGAAUUUGGUUCACAAUUCUAUUAUAAAGGGCAAAUAGCAUUAUUAAAAUAUUUCUUCUACUUCAUUUCCUUUCCAUGUGCAUGAAUUUGUGCACUGGGGCAUUAGUAAAUAAUAAGCAUGGAAAUUUUUGUCUUUAGGGAAAAAGACCUCUCUACAAUUCUUAACCAACUGUUUAAUGAUUAUAAAGGGAAUUCUAGGUCAGAGGUCAGCAAGCUGUUUCUGUAACAGCCAGAGACUCAAUGGCUUACGAUUUCUGCAGAAACUCCAAGCCUCUCCUCAUUAUUAGAUAUCAGUCAUUGACUCUAUGUAAAUAAGUACCUGUGGCUCUAUUAGUAUAGAUCUUUUCUGUGAACAAUAAAGUUUGAUUUUCAUAUACUUGACCUGUAUUAGGCAAUAAGGCUUCCUUUGAAUCUCAGAGAAUUAGGCACAGGGCCUAGGCUGCUGGGCCCUGGGACUCACGGGGACAUUUCUGCUUCACUAGAUGGAGCAACAAUGCAGUGAGCUUCCUCUCCCCACUGCUAGGAACAGAUGACUCAUUAGCCAACACUGUACGUCAGGGCCAGUCAGACUCACUAGAUCCUGCUUGGAUUUGCUGUAUUUCAGGCUGAUCAGAUCCACCGUGAGUUCAGUGACUGGAAAAGGCCCAGUGCCCCUGCCUCUGGGGUUCAAUGUCUCUCAUCACAUUUGGACUUUCCCAUUGAGAGGGUGCAGUUCCCAAGGUCUGGUUUUCAUAGAAGAGUCUUCAUGCAGCUCUUCAAAUAUGCUGUUUCCAGUCAUCAAUAUAGUUCGCUGUGCAUUGGUGAAAGAUACAAUUCCUCAUGAACUGAUGCCUAAGGCCCCACAGCUACCUGCUACGGCCCAGUCCUAACAGAAGCUCACGCUGAUAUUAGUGAGGAGAAGACACCAGUCCUCAUUAACUGUCUGGUGGCUAACACCCUGCGGCACACCUGCUGCUGACAAGUCCAAACACAGGCUGCAUCUCAUCCUGAGUGAACCAAAGCCAGAAGUAUUUCCUGUGGAAGAAAAGGGCAGUGAGGACCUUCAGCCUGUAGAGAUGACUCAUCCCUGAGGGAAGAUAAUGAAGGUGUAUGGGGACCUUGCCACCUGAAAGAAGUCAAAUUGGAUUGAACUAUGGAAACACGAGGAGGAGGCAUUUGCCUGCACUGUAGGUGCAUAUGGAACAAGGUGAUGUGGACUUUGAAGUUGCUCAAACAAAGUAACCACAUGGUAUAGCAGCAGCAUAGGGUCUCCUGUAGUUAAAGAAUCGCCAUCUUCCUCAAUAACUUUCUGAUGGCUGACGCCCUAAGCACACCUGCUACUGCUCAGUCUUAACAGAGGCUUUCCAUGAUCCUUAAUGAACAGGGGCAAGUAAACAAAACUAUGCUGGCAUUAUUCGAAAACAGAGGAAUGUCUCUUACUUUCAAAAACAAGAGGAAGACUGACAAAGAUUCUUUUAAAAUUAUCCCAUUAUUAAAUAUUGGGGGAUCAUGUGGUUAAUGACAUUAUACUAACUUGUACAACUACACAAUACAACAUAGCACACUCCAGUUUGUGCUCAACACCCACAGGAUAGCAUCCUUGGGUUUGAACUCCUUUGCCAUCGUAUCCUCACUCAUGCUUUUUCCCCUCAGGUGACCGCCACGGAAAAAGUCUGCAGCGCAGCCGUCCAGUUUCCGGUUGGAUAUUGACAUCAUGCAAAGUCACCGGACAAAUAGGAAAACUCAAGGUAUCUGAGGCCCGGACACACCUCCAUGACCAGCCGGCUGCCUCGGAGCUGGGGACUCCGUGCUUCCUGCCGUCAGCAGAUCCAGCCUCAGAAACAGACCAGUUUACAAUCAUCUCUGAAAACUGCCACAAAUGGGCGGCCUGUUCUAAGCCGAGUCACCCAGGAAGGACGGGGGUAAGAGGGACAUUUUGCUCCAGAAACAGAAUGUCCAAAAAGGCCCAGCCCAUUAUUUUCCCCAGAAACGUUUGGAGGAGAGUAAAAUCCCAACAUGAGCUUCGAAGGCCCCUGUGCCCAGGGGAUGGCGUUGCCUGCUGAGGAGGGGCAGCAGGGGACACGGGCAGUUUCUCCACAGGCCGCAGCGGGAAGCUGGGCAGGAGCCUGGCGGGCCCCGGGUUCUCUAAGAGGUUCUUCUAGAAACAGACCCCUCAGAUGCUUCCUCUCACUUCAGGUAAGAAGUUACUGUUAAGGCACUUGGGGAGUUUCCCUUCUUCAGAAAGGAGGCACAGAUAUGUGAGUCAUCAGUGCAGCCUUAGUGGGAGACCUGAAGGUGGGGGACCCCGUAGAAGUGGACAAAGGCUGCUGCCACCACCAUGACACUAAAUACCCAACGUGACUGGUUCCAUGUGUCAACUUAAUAGGACCGAGCGCUCUGUAACUGGAGCAGCCUGGAGGCCAGCUCUGGGCUGCACAGCCCAGCCAUGAGGAAGAGCCGGCCCAGCUGCCUGCGUGUGUCCUUGACACAGCCCCUGGCACCGUUCUGACGGCAACUGGCAGUGAGUCUCAAGGCUCGGAGCACAGGACUGGCCUGCAGGGAGCAGACACUCAUCCCAAGACCCCCUGCUGCUGAGUUCCAUCCGGAGGUUGUCAGAGAGCAGCUGCUGCCGUAGCCGGGCCUCAUCUGAGUGUGUGCCAGCUUCAUGCAGAGCACAAGGCAUGUCUGCAGGUGUCGCAGAGCAUUCCCCUAACCAGGAAUGGCCUUCAGCGUGGAAAAGACGGUCUUUAGUGAAAGAGACCUCUCCAGAGACCUCAGCCAGCCAUGCAAAGACUAUCGAGUUAUCCCAGGAUCCGAGAUCACAUCUGCAGACUUUGUAACAGCCAGAGUCAAUGGCUUAAGGUGUGUAUUUAAACUCCAAUCUCUUCUCUUAGACUCAGCGUCAUAGACAGUAUGUGAGCAAAUAGGUGUGGCUGUAUUCCCAUAAAGCAGUAUCUGUAGA